UACGAAGGGUGCAAGCGUUACUCGGAAUUACUGGGCGUAAAGCGUGCGUAGGCGGUUUGUUAAGUCUGUCGUGAAAGCCCCGGGCUCAACCUGGGAAUGGCGAUGGAAACUGGCGAGCUAGAGUACGGUAGAGGAGAGUGGAAUUCCCGGUGUAGCAGUGAAAUGCGUAGAGAUCGGGAGGAACAUCAGUUGCGAAGGCGGCUCUCUGGACCAAUACUGACGCUCAUGCACGAAAGCGUGGGGAGCAAACAGG
rnacentral:rRNA from 1 species